CCUACGGGGCGCUGCAGUAGGGAAUAUUGCUCAAUGGGCGAAACCCUGAAGCAGCAACGCCGCGUGGAGGAUGAAGGUUUUCGGAUUGUAAACUCCUUUUGUUAGAGAAGAUAAUGACGGUAUCUAACGAAUAAGCACCGGCUAACUCCGUGCCAGCAGCCGCGGUAAUACGGAGGGUGCAAGCGUUACUCGGAAUCACUGGGCGUAAAGCGCGCGUAGGCGGGAUAGCAAGUCAGAUGUGAAAUCCUAUGGCUUAACCAUAGAACUGCAUUUGAAACUGUUAUUCUAGAGUAUGGGAGAGGUAGGUGGAAUUCUUGGUGUAGGGGUAAAAUCCGUAGAGAUCAAGAGGAAUACUCAUUGCGAAGGCGACCUGCUAGAACAUAACUGACGCUGAUGCGCGAAAGCGUGGGGAGCAAACAGGAUUAGAUACCCCGGUAGUC
rnacentral:rRNA from 1 species